AUGACUAAAAAUAACUUACUUAAAAGGGGAAUUGAUAGGAACCCAAAUUGUUUAUUCUGUUCCGAGCAGGAGACUGUAGACCACUUGUUUUUUGGCCGUGUGGUUGAUAAAAGCAUCUGGAGUGAAAUCUCCUCGUUCUUCUCCAUAGAAUCAGGAUCUAGCUACCUUUCCAUUGCCAAGUUUUGGCCUGCUAACAAGAAACAUGAAGUACUUAAUGCUUUUUGUGCUUGUGUCCUGUGGAGCUUAUGGAAAAUUAGAAAUAAGCAUGUUUUUGACAAUGCUGUCUGGUCUGAUACUAAACAGAUCUGGUGGCUGAUCUAGAGGACCCUCAAGAGGUGGAUGAUUCUGUACACCAAGGAUUCACUCGACAAAAUGCAGAAGAUACUGGAUUGGGUAUCCUGCAUACUCAAAGCUCCCCUCCAGCUGACUCCGGGAUGA
rnacentral:rRNA from 1 species